rnacentral:tRNA from 1 species
UCCCAUGUGGCUCAGUUGGUAGAGCAUGGUAUUUUCAACGCCAGGGUUGUGGGUUUGAUUCCCACGGGGGAC